rnacentral:rRNA from 1 species
AAUGAACGUUGGCGGCAUGGAUCAGGCAUGCAAGUCGGGCGAGAAGAGUUUUGAAGCUUGCUUUAGAACUCGGACAGCGGCGAAAGGGAGAGUAACGCGUAGUUAUGUGCCCUAGGGUCCGGAAUAGCCACGGGAAACUGUGGGUAAUGCCGGAUAAUAUCCCCGGAUCAAAGGUGUGAUUCCGCCCUAGGAGCAGACUGCGUCCUACUAGCUAGUUGGUGGGGUAAUGGCCUACCAAGGCAAUGAUGGGUAGCGGGUGUGAGAGCAUGACCCGUCUCACUGGGACUGAGACACUGCCCAGACACCUACGGGUGGCUGCAGUCGAGAAUCUUCGGCAAUGGGCGAAAGCCUGACCGAGCGAUGCCGCGUGCGGGAUGAAGGCCCUCGGGUUGUAAACCGCUGUCGUAGGGGAGGAAGGUUCCGUGAAGAGCGGAAUUUGACCUAUCCUAGGAGGAAGUACGGGCUAAGUUCGUGCCAGCCGCCGCGGUAAAAC